rnacentral:rRNA from 1 species
UGAGGAAUAUUGGUCAAUGGGCGCAAGCCUGAACCAGCCAUCCCGCGUGCAGGAAGACGGCCCUAUGGGUUGUAAACUGCUUUUACAGGGGGAGAAUUUUUCUGUCGUGACAGGAAUUGACGGUACCCUGGGAAUAAGCAUCGGCUAACUCCGUGCCAGCAGCCGCGGUAAUACGGAGGAUGCGAGCGUUAGCCGGAUUGAUUGGGUGUAAAGGGUGCGUAGGCGGAUAGAUAAGUCAGUGGUGAAAACCUGCAGCUUAACUGUAGACUUGCCGUUGAUACUGUCAGUCUUGAGUAUGGUCAAGGUAGGCGGAAUGUGUAAUGUAGCGGUGAAAUGCUUAGAUAUUACACAGAACACCGAUUGCGAAGGCAGCUUACUGGGCCAUUACUGACGCUGAUGCACGAAAGCGUGGGGAUCGAACA